rnacentral:rRNA from 1 species
AGUGAACGCUGGCGGUAGGCCUAACACAUGCAAGUCGAACGGCAGCACAGUAAGAGCUUGCUCUUGCGGGUGGCGAGUGGCGGACGGGUGAGGAAUACAUCGGAAUCUACUUUUUCGUGGGGGAUAACGUAGGGAAACUUACGCUAAUACCGCAUACGACCUACGGGCGAAAGCAGGGGAUCUUCGGACCUUGCGCGAUUGAAUGAGCCGAUGUCGGAUUAGCUAGUUGGCGGGGUAAAGGCCCACCAAGGCGACGAUCCGUAGCUGGUCUGAGAGGAUGAUCAGCCACACUGGAACUGAGACACGGUCCAGACUCCUACGGGAGGCAGCAGUGGGGAAUAUUGGACAAUGGGCGCAAGCCUGAUCCAGCCAUACCGCGUGGGUGAAGAAGGCCUUCGGGUUGUAAAGCCCUUUUGUUGGGAAAGAAAAGCAGCAGGUUAAUACCCCGCUGUUCUGACGGUACCCAAAGAAUAAGCACCGGCUAACUUCGUG